rnacentral:rRNA from 1 species
GAUGAACGCUAGCGGCAGGCUUAACACAUGCAAGUCGAGGGGUAUAGGCUUUCGGGCCUAGAGACCGGCGCACGGGUGCGUAACGCGUAUGCAAUCUACCUUUCACAGAGGGAUAGCCCAGAGAAAUUUGGAUUAAUACCUCAUAGCAUAACGACCUGGCAUCAGGAUGUUAUUAAAGUCACAACGGUGAAAGAUGAGCA